CUAUCUCUCUCUGUCAAAAAUAAAUAGUAAAAAAACAAAUUUUUUUAAUUCAUUCUUAUAACUUAAUUUGGCAAGAAGUGGUCAGACCUGUUUGUUGUUGUUGUUGUUUUUCCAAUCACACAGACAUUGCCAGAAUGUGUAUUCUCCCCACACUUGCCAACCCCUUGGAAGACCACCUUCCUCCUCUCCUGCUAAUCAGAUUCAUGCCCUGUGCAAAAUCCUGCUCCUCUACGAAGGUUGCCUGGGAACCCAUGAGCUCCUUGCAGUCCAGACUCUGUCUAAGCCAUCUUUGUACCUUAGCAACAAGUAGAGCCAGGUACCUGAUAGAGAUUCGGUAGAAGUGUGGGGAAUGAAUCAAAGAACUUUUCUCCAGCCUUCUGUAAUUACUCCUCUGCUUAACUCUAACAUAUUUAGUGCCUGUACCACUCAUUUGAACACUGAUGCACCUCUGACUUGUUAAUUAGCCCCUUUAAGACUGGAUGCUUUGUCCUUCCCACACAGAUUGCCUGUUCCUUGAGGGAGAAGGACAGUGCUUCAACCCCCCCACCCCACCCCCCACCAUGUUUCUAUUGCCUAGCACAGAGAUGGUGCUCACAAAUGUUGUCAAUUUAAGCCCUGUUCCUUUUCACUGGACAGCAAUGUCUGUUGGGGACCACGUUCAGAAAACUGAUCUUGCAGAAGCCACAAUUUUAUUGUAAGGGCGUCUGGAAAAGGAGUCUGGCUUCCAUGCAUUUCAAACGGAGAGAUAAAGUGUUCAUCAGCCAACUGAUGCUUAGUUUUGUUCAACCACAUAUUUUGAGCCAUUGCUUUGCACCUGACACUGAACCACACAAUGUUUCUACCUCACGUGGAUUCAAAGUCGAGCGGAGUGUUUUGCUGCCCACCCCUGACUUGGGGACAGUGUUUGUCAUCACCAGUGGCCCUGAGUGACUGGUGGGCAAUGGACAUAGUUCCAGCCACCUGGCCUGGACUUUCUGGGUGGUGUGGACCUGCUGCUCACCCUGUGUAGCCCCCUUCUGGGUGGUGCCGAAUUGCUGCCUCUUCCCCUAUCCCUGGUCCUCUGAGAUCCAGAAUAGAUUUUUACGGCAAGUUAACUGACUCCAAAAAGUCUGCACUGUGGUUUUUCAAGAAACUUCAAACUUACCGUCUUCAGGAAUAACGCGGGAAGGGGAAAUGAACUCUGACAAGGCUAAUAACAGGGAUUUCAAGUAGUGUUUUAGUAAGCCAGUCACAGAGUAUUCACGUGUUAAUUCACUGGCAUGUUCCGUGGCAGAAGCACCCCUACUCUGCCUUCCCCCACUUCCAACUGUUGUGCUGCAGCAAGAUUUGGUCUGAAUCUAGGCAGACUCCCCCCACCCCCCCUUUAUAAGCUGCCCUCCAGAUUCUGUUACAGCAAGUGUCUGGUGAAAGUGGUCCCUGCCUUGUCGCACACAAAGGCUAGGAGCUCUUUAAAGGGGCCAGCCUGCGCUUCUGUGCAGCUGCAAACAUUUGUCAGUGUGGGCUCAGCAACCCAGGCUUUCGCCUGAAAAUGAGUAGGGAGGGGUCUUGAGCACUCCCCCUCCCCCCCCCCACCCCAGACCUCCCGGAGUGGGGCGGGGAGGGGAAGAAGCUGACAGUCUGAGUGGAUGGAGACCACCGGUCCCUGGGGACCAGCUUGCGAUUAGCUGCUUCUUGGAUGCUCCGCGUGCCAGUUGAGCAUCCUGCCUGAGGUCCAGAGCGUGCUGGCGGCGCAUCUUGCGGUAUAUGCCUGCGUGGAUUUGAGCCAUCGCCCAGAGGCGAGCCCGCAUUCAGACACGGUGGACCGGCCCCGGCAGUCAGCACGAAUGCUCAGCUUUAGGCGUCUGCAAGAGCCUCCCGACUGCAUGGAUUUGGCAGUCUGAUCAGCCGAGAUUACUGCCCGGGAAGAUUUGUGAGCCUGAUCCGCGCUCCAGCUGCUGUGACAACUUCAGGGCUGGCUGUUUACUUCUCUCGGUGCCUGGGACUCUGUUCUGCACCGCAGCCACUCCUGCCACUUGCCCGGCUCUGAAGUCCUCUGCCGCGAGGACUUGUCUGACGGCAUCCCCAGGAAGGGGGAGCAAGGAGGGGUUAAAAGACGAGCAGAAACCCCCCCAGCUGCUCAACCUCUCGUGACUGCCUGUGUUCUGGGGUUCUGAGAGGGACCGUGCGCUGCCCGGGGAAGCAAUGCAAGUCUCCAUAGCCUGCACAGAGCACAAUUUGAAGAGCCGGAAUGGUGAGGACCGACUUCUGAGCAAGCAGAGCUCCACCGCCCCCAAUGUGGUGAACGCAGCCCGGGCCAAAUUCCGCACGGUCGCUAUCAUCGCGCGCAGCCUGGGGACGUUCACCCCUCAGCAUCACAUUUCUCUCAAAGAGUCCACCGCAAAGCAGACUGGCAUGAAAUAUAGGAAUCUUGGAAAAUCAGGACUCAGAGUUUCUUGCUUGGGUCUUGGAACAUGGGUGACAUUUGGAGGUCAAAUUUCAGAUGAGGUUGCCGAACGGCUGAUGACAAUUGCCUACGAAAGUGGGGUUAAUCUCUUCGAUACUGCUGAAGUCUAUGCUGCUGGAAAGGCUGAAGUGAUUCUGGGGAGCAUCAUCAAGAAGAAAGGCUGGAGGAGGUCCAGCCUGGUCAUAACAACCAAACUCUACUGGGGUGGAAAAGCUGAAACGGAAAGAGGGCUGUCAAGAAAACAUAUUAUUGAAGGAUUGAAGGGCUCCCUCCAGAGGCUGCAGCUCGAGUAUGUGGAUGUAGUCUUUGCAAAUCGACCAGACAGUAACACCCCCAUGGAAGAAAUUGUUCGAGCCAUGACACAUGUGAUAAACCAAGGAAUGGCAAUGUACUGGGGGACCUCCCGGUGGAGUGCUAUGGAGAUCAUGGAAGCCUAUUCUGUAGCAAGGCAGUUCAAUAUGAUCCCACCGGUCUGUGAACAAGCUGAGUAUCAUCUUUUUCAGAGAGAGAAAGUGGAGGUUCAGCUACCAGAGCUCUACCAUAAAAUAGGAGUUGGAGCAAUGACGUGGUCUCCACUUGCCUGUGGAAUCAUCUCAGGAAAAUAUGGAAAUGGAGUGCCUGAAAGUUCUAGGGCUUCGCUGAAGUGCUACCAGUGGCUGAAGGAAAGAAUUGUAAGUGAAGAGGGACGAAAACAGCAGAACAAACUAAAAGACCUCUCCCCAAUUGCUGAGCGCCUCGGGUGCACACUACCUCAGCUGGCUGUCGCUUGGUGCCUGAGAAAUGAGGGUGUGAGUUCCGUGCUCCUGGGAUCAUCCACUCCUGAACAACUCAUUGAAAACCUCGGUGCCAUUCAGGCAAGUACUACAGCCCUUUCCGGUAAACUCCAGAGACUAUCAUGGUCCGUUGAAGAUGUCCCCAGGCAGUGUCCCAUCUCUUUCCACCUCUGUCCUUUAUUGUGUCACAGCUGCAUGAAGGCCUCUAAUAGAGGGAAAGGCCAUCUGUUUCUAGGUGUGGGGGGGGGGGGUGCUUAGGAUAAGGGGGGUACACAAAGGCCCAAGAAGCAACAGAACUUUUACAGGACACGGAUCCAGGGGUGUCCUCUUAUGAACAGGCGAUACUGUCAAAGCACAUUCUUCAGGAUGGUAUGUGGGACAGUGCAUUCCAAGACCCAAGCAACGUUACACUGGGCGACUGAAUUCCCAAGCCUGACCAUAAAAACCUGCUUAAUAACCUACCUGAAAUUAUGCAUUACUCCUUUCCCCAAAUAGUUGCCAAUCUACGUUGUGCCAAGCCCCCCACCCCUUUCUGCUCCCAUAGCAUCCUGUAUUCCUCCUCCCCACCACAGUAUUUGUGAUCAUGUAGUAGGAUUACCUGUCUCCCCACUGGAAUGUGAGCUCCCGGAGGUCAGAGACUUUCUGGCAUCUCCACCGAUUUUCCAGUUCCUAGCAUACGUUGUCUCUUAGUCAACAAUCAAAUACCUGUUGAAUGAAUGUUUCCCACAUUUUAAGAGGAUAUAGGCUCAAAAUUCUAUUUUGGAUUUCCAGGACCACAUCUUUCUAGCAGCAAAUUCAGGACUAACCACCUUCCCUGGGGAAGAAGUGGAUUGGAUUUGGUAGGAGCCUGCAUCGGUAGUGAGAGAGAAAGUGGGAGAGAGAUGUUCCUGGGGGCUCUGUGGAGAGGGUGAUGUUAAUGGCUGCUGUGACCAUCCCGUGCCCCAAAGGCCAUACCUCAGUCCUGAGCCUGCCCCACGCUCAGCCCUGAGGGUCCUAAGGACCCUGCCCACUACUCUUGCCACAGCCAGCACCUGCCACAACAGGUAUGGUUGUCUAUUUUCCUACUGCUCACUGGGGAACAGAAAGGUCUCCCCUGCCUGCCCAUCCCUGAAACAAGCCCCGUUAACCCUUCCAAAAGGAAACCCAUGGUGGUGUGAACAAACUUGAUUAAACUUAAAACAUUUUUUAAAAACCCUUUUGGCAAAUAGCCCAGAAUAUGCUGGGAGAUAAAUGGUGCCAACCUCCUUCCCAUCAUCACUUUCUUAGGGCUGUGCAGCUGCCCCUGCUAUGAAGAACCUGUCCAGCCCCCCAACUCCUCCCAGAAUUCUAUGGGGUUCCAUCCCGUAUGGGGAAUGCUCCUUCUUAUGAAAGUCACCCCUACCUUAUUUUCACUGAUGUUCUGGGAAAAGAUAAGACUACACGGUGACAAGGAGGAAAUAGAGGAACAGUCUGUACACAACUGAAAUUCAAUGAUUUCAAUUCCAUUAACAGUUAUUUAGUAUGUAUUAUAUGUUUGGCACCACGCUAGGCAUGGAAGGUACUGAGCAAAGAACUGGCCUCUGCCCUCAUGAGAUCACGGGCUGGCUAAGAGUGAAUCAGAUAAAAAAAAAAAAAAAAAAAAAAUCAAUCUAUCCCUUAGUUCAUUCAGCUCUUUGAGAGCCUACUAUGCACCAGGCACUGGAGACACCAUAACAGACAAAGAUACUGUCCAGGCUUUAAGGAGUUUACAUUCCAGUGGGAGAAGCACAUAAUAAACAUGAAAUAAUUUCAAAAUGUGAGGACUAUUAGGUAACUAAAGAGGGAUCUUUAACAGAGACUGAGAAAUGGGUGGGUCUACUUCAGAUAAUGUUUGUGCCAAAGGCCCCUCUGGGAUAGGUGUAUCCUGAAGUCCAAAAGAGGAGAACGCAGCAUAUGAAAAACCCAAGCAAGAGCAUUCCAGACACAGUGGAGAACAGUGCGAAGGCCUGGAGAUCAUUAGGAACUUGGCUUUUUCCAGGAACUGCCAGCCUAAGGCUAACGUGGCCAACAUGUAGUGAGCAAAAGGGACAGUGGAUGCAUUAAAGUGGAGUCAGGCAGGAGAUGGAUUUCAAAGGACACUAAAAAGGUUCUCCCAAAGAUGACAUCACACGUGGUAAAUGAGAUUGAUAAUAUAUUGCGAAACAAGCCCUACAGCAAAAAAGACUACAGAUCAUAAAGCAGUGCAUGAGCCAUAGGACCUGCAUGGUUAAAACUGCGGUCUACACUGGUACAGAAUGGUGUUACUAGCCAGUCUUUUGAGUCACUUAGCAGCCUGCUGCUCAACCUCUAGUAUUCCUGGAUUCUGAGGUACCUGCUGUCGCUACCACUGUGCACCUGAAUAACGAGCACAUCUGAAAACUCACAACCAAGAAAAUCCAUUCUAUUUUCUUACCUUGGACUGGAGUCACCUGUUCUUGCAUUGCUCUGUACGCCUCAUGCUUAUGCCAUAGGAAGGAUAUGAGGGGAAGACCUAGUGCCUUCAGGCAUUUAGUAACUUAAAGUAGGCUGUACAGAUCUAUUUUUUCAAAUGAAUAAAAUCCACAGAUGCAAUGUGGAUUGCAUCAGAAAGAGGAGGCUACAUCCACUCAGAAGUCUUACUUGGGAGAACAAUUUUACCUUUUUUUUUCCCCAUUUUCACAUGAAGGUUAUCAAAGGUUGUCUCACUUGUCAUUAAACAAAACUAAAAUUCCUAGGUAUUUGCUUUCAUUACCUUUUAAAAAUAUUCACUGUUGCCUGGCCCCAACAACGACCCUGUAUUGUAACUGACCCAAAGCGUCUCUAUUAAGAUUCUAUUAACGUUCUGUCCAUUCACAUACAGAGAUAAUUAAAGGAUGAACACCCAAUCUUUAACUUGAGACAGGAUGGCUAAUUUACGAAAGGGAGGAUUACACUGCUAUGGAAGCUUAGCUUUGAAUAAAACGUAAUAUAUAUGCAACUGAAGUGUUCACUUUUGACUACAUUUUAUUAAAACCUGCUUUAUACUUCUGACUGCUUGUAGGCACAGCUUCUGCAAGUUUAAAUAUUUGAGCUUUAAAAAUAAAUACACAAAUGCUCAGUUUUGUAAGUAAACCUGUAAAAUAUCCACAAAGGCAAAUGUUUGCUGUUUAAUUAGCACUGGGAUUUUACAAUAUAAUGCUUGUUUUUGAGCAGUCAUCAUGAAAGUGAGUCAUGGACUUUGUGAAAAAUGCUAUCACUACUCAGAAUAUGCUGGGUGAAUUAACUUGCCUAGUGAAAAACAAAUGUUAAAGAAUUUCCUCAUUCUAUAAACCACAUUAUAUAUGCACUAAACUAAAUGCAUGGAAGCUCUCUGCAUGGAUUAAAGGGGCCUAGCCUUGUUGCACACAGAAGCAGAAGUCUAACCCUGCCAUUACUGGUUACCUACCCUCAUGAGUAUGUCACUUGAGAAAAACUGUGAGACUAUAUUGUGUGUACCUGUAAGGAAGGAAAACUUUGGGGGGGUGGGAUCCUAGCUCUCUAUUUGGACACAUGAGCAUGUACAAAAUUCUAAUUUUCUGGCUAGCCAGUACCCCGUAUAGAAAUCACUUUGACGUUUAACGAUUAUACCAUCAGCUUAAAAUGCUAUUUUCUGCCACCAUUUCCAGACAUGUAUUUCAUGAUUAAGUUCUAAAUCUUACAGCGUUAGUGUGAAAUACCAAUGAAUUUUCUUUUUUGUUACUACUACCUGUAUUCUAAUAAGGAAACAGUUGGGUUUUUGCCCAGGAGUACCAGAUUAAUGAUGGAAAUGGAUCAUCUUUCAGUUGUUCAUUGUGUAUUCAAUCCAGUGAACUACUAUAUGCAUAAAUGAGCUGAAGUUGGCUAAUUGGAACUGCAAUUUAACUUCUUUGCUUAGAGUAAUAAAAGCAUUUUGUGCACUUAAUCUCAA